GAGGCUACUGGAGGGGGAAGAUUUAGACUUUGCUUAUGAUAGCAUUUCAGCCUUUUCUUCCGGCAGAGACAAUCAGGAAGCAGUUUUUGGAGCUGAAGAAAGUUUAAAAGAUAUACGUGAUGCAACUCUGGCAUAUAAAGGUGAAGCUUUAGAAUUGCAGAGACAGCUUAGGCACCUGCAGUCUCAAUUUGAUAUGCUCACUGGCCAGGCGUCGGCUUUGAUUCAAGGGAGACGGGCUCGAGUUGCUGCAACAUCUACUGUCAAUGGAUACCUUACAUCAAUAGAUGAUAGUCUUUCAGCNNNNNNNNNNNNAAUGAAGUUCUUGGAAGGAUCACAUCUACGGCACAAGAGUUGGCUCACUAUCACUCUGGGGAUGAGGAUGGCAUUUACUUAGCUUACUCUGAUUUUCAUCCGUACUUGCUUGGAGAUUCAUCUUGUAUAAAGGAAAUAAACCAGUGGUUUUCUAAGCAACUGGACACGGGUCCUUUUCGACUUGUUGCUGAGGAGGGCAAAUCAAAGUGUUCGUGGGUGAGUCUUGAUGACAUCUCAAAUAUUUUAGUAAGAGAUUUAGAAAAAUCUCAUCACCAACGUGUGUCUGAGUUGCAAAGGCUUCGAUCCAUAUUUGGAACAAGUGAAAGACAAUGGGUUGAAGCUCAGGUUGAGAAUGCUAAGCAACAAGCUAUUCUCAUGGCACUUAAAUCUCAAAUAACUUCAGAUGAAGCUCACAUUCAUCUUGAUCUUCACACUCUUAGAAGAAGGCAUGCUGAACUGGUGGGGGAACUUUCAAAUCUUCAUCACAAAGAAGAGAAAUUAUUAUCUGAGACCAUUCCAGAUCUUUGUUGGGAGCUGGCUCAACUCCAAGACACGUAUAUUUUGCAAGGUGAUUAUGAUCUGAAGGUCAUGCGACAAGAAUAUUAUAUUAGUCGACAGAAAACGUAUAUAAAUCAUCUAAUCAAUCAGCUAGCAAGGCAUCAGUUCUUAAAAAUAGCUUGUCAGUUGGAAAAAAAGGACAUGCUUGGAGCAUAUUCAUUACUUAAAGUUAUCGAGUCGGAGCUUCAGGGGUACCUGUCAGCAACUAAAGGCAGAGUGGGUCGUUGCCU
rnacentral:misc_RNA from 1 species